UACGAAGGGUGCAAACGUUGCUCGGAAUCAUUGGGCGUAAAGCGCACGUAGGCGGCUUCACAAGUCGGAUGUGAAAUCCCGUGGCUCAACCAUGGACGUGCAUUCGAAACUGCGAAGCUUGAGUAUGGAAGAGGGUCGCGGAAUUCCCGGUGUAGAGGUGAAAUUCGUAGAUAUCGGGAGGAACACCAGUGGCGAAGGCGGCGACCUGGGCCAAUACUGACGCUGAGGUGCGAAAGCUAGGGGAGCAAACGGG
rnacentral:rRNA from 1 species